rnacentral:rRNA from 1 species
UACGGGGGGGGGCAAGCGUUGUUCGGAAUUACUGGGCGUAAAGGGCGUGUAGGCGGCCAACUAAGUCCGACGUGAAAUCCCCAGGCUUAACCUGGGAACUGCGUCGGAUACUGGAUGGCUUGAAUUCGGGAGAGGGAUGCAGAAUUCCAGGUGUAGCGGUGAAAUGCGUAGAUAUCAGGAGGAACACCGAUGGCGAAGGCAGGUCACUGGGCCGCAACUGACGCUGAGGAGCGAAAGCAUGGGGAGCGAACAGG